CAAGACGAUUGACAGUGCGCCUGGGAAUGACGACGACCUGAGCGGGUCGGAGUGGAAUGUUUGCUGCAGGUCAUCAGUGGCGCUUUCUGCUCUUUUGUGCACAGUCUGCAGAGGAGACAGAGCUGAUCCCAAGGAAGCUGAAUGGAAAGGCCACUCCAAAAGAUCUCCUCCUAAUCCCCGACGCUUCUCAAGUCCACUCGAGGAUGCUAAAAAGUCAGACCACGCCUCGCAGAUGCCCGAAAUAAGGUCAAGCGGUCGGCUUUGCGUGGCUUGGCGUUUAAAACGAUUAGCGACGUCGGCCAUCUUUGAUACUCACGUGAACCUGCGUCAUGUUAUGAGCAUGGGUACAGUAAAAUAUGAAAUGUAUAAGGGGAUAUUUAACAUUGUAAAUUGAUAUUUCCCGAGAUUUGCGUUUGCAAAAACAGGCUCAGUUGAUCUCUGCUGAUUAAUUUUUUUCCUGCAUGUAUGUAAAAAAAAACAGAGCAGCCUUACCUUAAUCACCAAAUCUGAAAUCUGAAACAGCCUCCUAAAAAAAAAAA